ACUGGGACUCAGCAGCUAAGACUUACGCCCCACCACCACCCACCACCCAGGAUUCCUCCUCCACACCGCCACCGGCGACCUCACUAUGACCACAGACACACCUGACGGCCGAUACGACCUUAGUUUUAAGGUCAGUGACGCCAGCCAGGGACAGUUUGGGGUCAGAGCCAACGUGACAGUCAAGGUCAAAUCCCUGAACCAGUUUGACCUUGCGUACGCGACUCCUCUCACUCUGGUGGCUGACCCAUACCACCUGGUCAAGGAGGAAGAGGGAGAACUCUCUGUGUUAGGUCUCUGAAGCCACCGUACAGGCGUGGGUGGAAGGCUUCAGCGUAGGCGUGCGGGCGGUGUCGGUGGAACCUCUAGAGGGACUCCACCACACCCACGCUCAUCCUCGCCCAUCACCACCA